rnacentral:rRNA from 1 species
AACGAACGCUGGCGGCGUGUUUAAGACAUGCAAGUCGCACGGUGUCAUUUUGGUAGCAAUACUUGGAUGGCAUAGUGGCGCACGGGUGAGUAACACGUGAAUUACAUGCCCUGUAGAGGGGGAUAGCCCAGGGAAACUUGGAUUAAUACCCCAUGGUCUCGCAAGAGUAAAAGGUGGCCGCAAGGCUGUCGCUGCAGGAUUGGUUCGCGCCCUAUCAGCUUGUUGGCGGGGUAACGGCCCACCAAGGCUACGACGGGUACCUGGUCUGAGAGGACGAUCAGGCACACUGGAACUGAGACACGGUCCAGACACCUACGGGUGGCAGCAGUCGAGAAUAAUUCACAAUGGGGGCAACCCUGAUGGUGCAACGCCGCGUGGAGGAUGACGGUCUUCGGAUUGUAAACUCCUGUCAUCCGGGAGUAAGACCUGGGCAUUAACAGUGCACAGGGUUGAUAGUACCGGAAGAGGAAGGGACGGCUAACUUCGUGCCAGCAGCCGCGGUAA